UACGUAGGGGGCAAGCGUUGUCCGGAAUCAUUGGGCGUAAAGCGCGUGUAGGCGGUUCGGUAAGUCUGCUGUGAAAGUCCAGGGCUCAACCCUGGGAUGCCGGUGGAUACUGUCGAGCUAGAGUACGGAAGAGGCGAGUGGAAUUCCCGGUGUAGCGGUGAAAUGCGCAGAUAUCGGGAGGAACACCAAUUGCGAAGGCAGCUCGCUGGGACGUCACUGACGCUGAGACGCGAAAGCGUGGGGAGCAAACAGG
rnacentral:rRNA from 1 species